UCUUUGAUGGUCUAGUGGUCAUGAUUUCCGCUUGUCACGCGGGAGACCGGGUUCGAUUCCCCGUCAGAGAG
rnacentral:tRNA from 1 species